AGCGAACGCUGGCGGAAUGCUUAACACAUGCAAGUCUCACGGGCAGCAAUGUCAGUGGCGGACGGGUGAGUAACGCGUAGGAAUGUGUCCUGUGGUGGGGGAUAACGUCGGGAAACUGGCGCUAAUACCGCAUAUGUCCUGAGGGGCAAAGCAGCAAUGCGCCAUUGGAGCAGCCUGCGUCCGAUUAGCUUGUUGGUGGGGUAAAGGCUUACCAAGGCGACGAUCGGUAGCUGGUCUGAGAGGAUGAUCAGCCACACUGGAACUGAGACACGGUCCAGACUCCUACGGGAGGCAGCAGUGGGGAAUAUUGGACAAUGGGCGAAAGCCUGAUCCAGCAAUUCCGCGAGGGUGAAGAAGGUCUUCGGAUUGUAAAGCCCUUUCGACGGGGACGAUGAUGACGGUACCCGUAGAAGAAGCCCCGGCUAACUUCGUGCCAGCCGCCGCGGUAAUAC
rnacentral:rRNA from 1 species